GAUGAAGAACGUAGCGAAAUGCGAUAAGUAAUGUGAAUUGCAGAAUUCAGUGAAUCAUCGAAUCUUUGAACGCACAUUGCGCCCGCCAGUAUUCUGGCGGGCAUGCCUGUUCGAGCGUCAUUUCAACCAUCAAGCCCCCGGCUUGUGUUGGAGCCCUGCGGCUGCCGCAGCCUCCCAAAACCAGUGGCGGGCUCGCUAUCACACCGAGUGCAGUAGUUUACUCUUCGCUCAGGGCGUGUGGCGGGUGCUAGCCGUAAAAGCCCCAACUUCUCAAGGUUGACCUCGGAUCAGGUAGGAAUACCCGCUGAACUUAAGCAUAUCAAUAAGCGGAGGA
rnacentral:misc_RNA from 1 species